rnacentral:rRNA from 2 species
AAACUUUUAACAACGGAUCUCUUGGUUCUGGCAUCGAUGAAGAACGCAGCGAAAUGCGAUAAGUAAUGUGAAUUGCAGAAUUCAGUGAAUCAUCGAAUCUUUGAACGCACAUUGCGCCCCCUGGUAUUCCGGGGGGCAUGCCUGUUCGAGCGUCAUUA